UUCUAAUCUAUAGAUUAUCUCAAAUUACAAAUUACAAAAAAUUAAAAGAGAUAAAAAUGAUAGCUUUUUAAGUAUUUUAUAUAUUUUUCAUAUAUUCAAAGUUUUGAGGUUUUACUGAAUAUCAAUCACAAGUAAGGAAUAGACCUUCUUCUUCUUUUUCAAUCAAAGAAAUAAAACUCAUGUAAGUUUAAUUAUAGGCUACAAUAGGAGAAUUAGUGGUACAAUUAAACUAAAGAGAAUCCAUGCAGCAAAUAGAGUGCCAAUAGACUACCAUUAAUGCUUCUUUACAACCCAGCACAAGCAAAAGAUUAAUAACUUAUGAAAUAAACACCAAUACAGCUAAUAUCUAUGAGAAUGCCUUGAAACAUUUGUAAUAUUCGUUGUGAUUUUUUAUUAAGU
rnacentral:lncRNA from 1 species